rnacentral:rRNA from 1 species
GACGAACGCUGGCGGCGUGCUUAACACAUGCAAGUCGAACGGAAGGGCCCUGCUUUUGUGGGGUGCUCGAGUGGCGAACGGGUGAGUAACACGUGAGUAACCUGCCCUUGACUUUGGGAUAACUUCAGGAAACUGGGGCUAAUACCGGAUAGGAGCUCCUGCUGCAUGGUGGGGGUUGGAAAGUUUCGGCGGUUGGGGAUGGACUCGCGGCUUAUCAGCUUGUUGGUGGGGUAGUGGCUUACCAAGGCUUUGACGGGCAGCCGGCCUGAGAGGGUGACCGGCCACAUUGGGACUGAGAUACGGCCCAGACUCCUACGGGAGGCAGCAGUGGGGAAUAUUGCACAAUGGGCGGAAGCCUGAUGCAGCAACGCCGCGUGCGGGAUGACGGCCUUCGGGUUGUAAACCGCUUUCGCCUGUGACGAAGCGUGAGUGACGGUAAUGGGUAAAGAAGCACCGGCUAACUACGUG